rnacentral:rRNA from 1 species
GGACAACCUGCCCUGAGGACUGGAAUAAUCCCGGGAAACUGGGGGUAAUUCCAGAUAUGUCAGAACUCCUGGAAUGGGUUCUGGCAGAAAGGCUCCGGCGCCUCAGGAUGGGUCUGCGGCCUAUCAGGGUAGUAGUGGGUGUAACGUACCUACUAGCCUACGACGGGUACGGGUUGUGAGAGCAAGAGCCCGGAGAUGGAUUCUGAGACAUGAAUCCAGGCCCUACGGGGUGCAGCAGGCGCGAAAACUUUACAAUGCGGGCAACCGCGAUAAGGGGACCUCGAGUGCUGGGUUACAAACCUGGCUGUUGGGCUGCCUAAAAAGCAGUCUAUAGCAAGGGCCGGGCAAGACCGGUGCCAGCCGCCGCGGUAACACCGGCGGCUCGAGUGGUAACCGCUGUUAUUGGGUCUAAAGGGUCUGUAGCCUGCCGGCUAAGUCUCUUGGGAAAUCUGGCAUCUCAAGUGUCAGGCUGCCAGGGGAUACUGGUCAGCUUGGGACCGGGAGAGGUGAGAGGUACCUCGGGGGUAGGGGUGAAAUCUUGUAAUCCUCGAGGGACCACCAGUGGCGAAGGCGUCUCACCAGAACGGAUCCGACGGCAAGGGACGAAAGCUAGGGGCACGAACCGGAUUAGAUACCCGGGUAGUCCUAGCCGUAAACGAUACUCGCUAGGUGUCGGCCACGGUGCGACCGUGGUCGGUGCCGUAGGGAAGCCGUGAAGCGAGCCACCUGGGAAGUACGGCCGCAAGGCUGAAACU